ACGGAAGGCAGCAGUGGGGAAUAUUGCACAAUGGGGGAAACCCUGAUGCAGCGACGCCGCGUGAGUGAAGAAGUUAUUCGUAAUGUAAAGCUCUAUCAGCAGGGAAGAAAAUGACGGUACCUGACUAAGAAGCCCCGGCUAACUACGUGCCAGCAGCCGCGGUAAUACGUAGGGGGCAAGCGUUAUCCGGAUUUACUGGGUGUAAAGGGAGCGUAGACGGUCUGGCAAGUCUGAUGUGAAAGGCAGGGGCUCAACUCCUGGACUGCAUUGGAAACUGUCAGUCUUGAGUGCCGGAGAGGUAAGCGGAAUUCCUAGUGUAGCGGUGAAAUGCGUAGAUAUUAGGAGGAACACCAGUGGCGAAGGCGGCUUACUGGACUGUAACUGACGUUGAGGCUCGAAAGCGUGGGGAGCAAACAGGAUUAGAUACCCUGGUA
rnacentral:rRNA from 1 species